AUGGCAUCCUCCUCCUCAAUCGUCCAGGUCGUCAGUGAGUCCACCUUGGACAGCGACGUCGUCCCCUCCUCGCUCAUCGAGAUUGCACCCUUCCUCCGUGUCGCCAACGAGGUCGAGGCCAUCAACCCACGCGUCGCAUACCUAUGUCGAUUCCAUGGCGGAUUCGAGAAGGCGCAUCGCCUCGACCCGCUCUCCAAUGGACGUGGUGUCCGGCAGUUCAAGAUCGCGCUCCUGCAGAGGCUCGAAAGGGAAAACGACCCCACCUUGAAGGGAAGGGUUGAACAGAGCGAUGUUGUCGAAAUAAAGAAUUUCUACCAGCAAUACUACAAGAUGUACAUCCAGGCGCUCCAGAAUGCUGCAGAUAAAGCUGAACGUGAUCAGCUCACAAAGGCUUACCAGACUGCAGCUGUGUUGUUUGAGGUCCUCAAGGCAGUUAAUCAGACGAUUUCCGAAACACACAACCACGUCGAUCCUGAUAGUUCUAUCAUGCGACGUCCCAAGAUCCAUGCCGCUUAUCACGCCCUUCGUGACACCAAGGGUCUGCCAUGGCCCAAGGACCAUGAAAAGAAUGCUGAUGCAGAUCUUCUUGAAUGGCUUCAGGCAAUGUUUGGGUUUCAGAAAGAUAAUGUGUCCAAUCAAAGAGAACAUCUCAUACUCUUGAUUGCCAGCAUGCAUAUAAGGCAGAUCUCCAAACAUGAACAACACCCAAAGUUAGAUGACCAUGUGUUGGAUACAACAAUGAAGAAGCUAUUCAAGAACUACAAGAGAUGGUGCAAGCACCUUGGCCGCAAAACCAGCUUAUGGCUGCCGACAAUUCAACAGGAAGUACAACAGCGUAAGCUUCUCUAUAUGGGCCUUUACUCAUAUGGGGCGAGGCGGCUAACUUGCGAUUUAUGCCAGAGUGUCUUUGCUACCUCUUUCAUCAUAUGGCUUUUGAAUUGUACAGUGUGUUGGCCGGAAAUGUGA
rnacentral:rRNA from 1 species